GGAGGCUCAGCGUUCUCAAGGCAGGACCUGGAGCAGGGCCUCACGGUGGCUCUCGCCGGGACAACUCGCACCUGGAGUGACAAUACCCCUGGCAACCACCAUUCCACUUUCCGUCUCUAAGAUUUGAGGACCACGUCCUGCCCUUCCCAGACCACAGCGCCGCCACCUGCCGACCCUGCGCAGCCACCGCACGGUGGAAACAAUGCCACGCCGUUCACACCUUGCAGCCGGAGAUGGGAAGGUUAAUUGAAUUAUUACCAAAACAGCAGGAGGACGGGGGUCCUGUUGCAGAAACCUCAGCGUUUCCGUCGCCCAUAGCAGGCUUCUGACCACCCCCCCCCCAGGCCCAAAUGGG